rnacentral:rRNA from 1 species
UACAGAGGGUGCAAGCGUUGUUCGGAAUUAUUGGGCGUAAAGGGUGCGUAGGCGGGCGCGGUAAGUCUCUUGUGAAAUCUCCGGGCUCAACUCGGAGCCUGCAAGGGAAACUGCCGUGCUUGAGUAUGGGAGAGGUGAGUGGAAUUCCCGGUGUAGCGGUGAAAUGCGUAGAUAUCAGGAGGAACACCAAUUGCGAAGGCAGCUCGCUGGGACGUUACUGACGCUGAGACGCGAAAGCGUGGGGGAGCAAACAGG